rnacentral:rRNA from 1 species
AUUGAACGCUGGCGGCAGGCCUAACACAUGCAAGUCGAGCGGAUGAAGGGAGCUUGCUCCUGGAUUCAGCGGCGGACGGGUGAGUAAUGCCUAGGAAUCUGCCUGGUAGUGGGGGAUAACGUCCGGAAACGGGCGCUAAUACCGCAUACGUCCUGAGGGAGAAAGUGGGGGAUCUUCGGACCUCACGCUAUCAGAUGAGCCUAGGUCGGAUUAGCUAGUUGGUGGGGUAAAGGCCGACCAAGGCGACGAUCCGUAACUGGUCUGAGAGGAUGAUCAGUCACACUGGAACUGAGACACGGUCCAGCCUCCUACGGGAGGCAGCAGUGGGGAAUAUUGGCCAAUGGGCGAAAGCCUGCUCCAGCCAUGCCGCGUGUGUGAAGAAGUUCUUCGGAUUGUAAAGCACUUUAAGUUGGGAGGAAGGGCAGUAAGUUAAUACCUUGCUGUUUUGACGUUACCAACAGAAUAAGCACCGGCUAACUUCGUG